rnacentral:tRNA from 1 species
AGUCUUAUAGUCAAAUAAUGAUUUUAAAUUGCAAAUUUAAAGGUGAAUAAUUUUUAAUUUUAAGGCUU